rnacentral:rRNA from 1 species
UGAUCAAGCCAAUAAGAGUACACGGUGGAUGUCUUGGCGUCGAGAGGCGAUGAAAGACGUGGGAACCUGCGAUAAGCCCAAGGGAGCCGGUAACCAGGCUGUGAUCUUGGGAUUUCUGAAUGGGGCAACCCACCCCGCAAGGGGUACUGUCCGUUGAAUGUAUAGACGGACAGAGCGAACGUGGAGAACUGAAACAUCUCAGUAACCACAGGAAAAGAAAGCAACCGCGAUUCCGUGAGUAGCGGCGAGCGAAAGCGGAUCAACCAGUGGACGAGUGAACCGGAAUGAAUGCCGGGCCAAAGAAGGUGAAAGCCCUGUAACCGAAAGCUGGCAAGCCCUCGAGUAGGUUCGGACUCGUGAAACCCGGACUGAACAUGGGGGGUCCACCCUCCAAGGCUAAAUACUCCUCGACGACCGAUAGUGAAUCAGUAAGGCGACUGAACGAUGAAAAGAUCCGCUGCGAGCGGAGUGAAAGAGUACCUGAAAUCAUGUGCCUACACAGCGGUUGGAGCCCUGCGCGCAAGCGUGGGGUGACAGCGUGCCUUUUGCAUAAUGAUCC